rnacentral:rRNA from 1 species
GACGAACGCGGGCGGCGUGCUUAACACAUGCAAGUCGAACGCUGAAGCCCAGCUUGCUGGGUGGAUGAGUGGCGAACGGGUGAGUAACACGUGAGUAACCUGCCCCCUUCUUUGGGAUAACGCCCGGAAACGGGUGCUAAUACUGGAUAUUCACUGAUCUUCGCAUGGGGGUUGGUGGAAAGGUUUUUUCUGGUGGGGGAUGGGCUCGCGGCCUAUCAGCUUGUUGGUGGGGUGAUGGCCUACCAAGGCUUUGACGGGUAGCCGGCCUGAGAGGGUGACCGGUCACAUUGGGACUGAGAUACGGCCCAGACUCCUACGGGAGGCAGCAGUGGGGAAUAUUGCACAAUGGGCGAAAGCCUGAUGCAGCGACGCCGCGUGAGGGAUGACGGCCUUCGGGUUGUAAACCUCUUUCGCUCAUGGUCAAGCCGCAACUGUGGGUUGUGGUGAGGGUAGUGGGUAAAGAAGCGCCGGCUAACUACGUGCCAGCAGCCGCGGUAAUACGUAGGGCGCGAGCGUUGUCCGGAAUUAUUGGGCGUAAAGGGCUUGUAGGCGGUUGGUCGCGUCUGCCGUGAAAUCCUCUGGCUUAACUGGGGGCGUGCGGUGGGUACGGGCUGACUUGAGUGCGGUAGGGGAGACUGGAACUCCUGGUGUAGCGGUGGAAUGCGCAGAUAUCAGGAAGAACACCGGUGGCGAAGGCGGGUCUCUGGGCCGUUACUGACGCUGAGGAGCGAAAGCGUGGGGAGCGAACAGG